AUUGUUCAAAAGAAGAAAAGAGCCGAGAGAGUCGGUUACAAAAAGCAAAAGAAGAAUGAAGGAGACGAAGAAGAGGUUUUAGUGAAGGAGACGAGGAAAAGAAAUAAGAAUUAGAAGAGACAAAAGAAUAGGAAGCUUGAGGAAGAAGAAAAGGCUGUCGUAUUGAACUGUCGCAUUGAUUACGAGUCCCAAGGUCGGCUAUAAUGAUGAAUAGACAACGGCAAUUAAGAUGGUUUAAUUAAUGCCGCACAUGAGACAAAAGUAGAGAAUGCGAUCAGGGCCGUAAAGAAGAGAAUAAACGGCUUAGAUUAAACGGUACAGAAGAUCGUGGUGCAGAAUACGUCAGAGAAUUUGAAUUUGAUUGGACCGAGAAAUACGCCUCGGAU
rnacentral:lncRNA from 1 species